GGCAGUGGUGUCUCAAAGGUUACGGCUCUAGGUUACUGAUCAGGAGGUCAGGGUUCAAGCCCCAGCACUGCCA